rnacentral:rRNA from 1 species
UACGAAGGGUGCAAGCGUUAAUCGGAAUUACUGGGCGUAAAGGGUGCGUAGGCGGUUAGUUAAGUCUGUUGUGAAAGCCCGGGGCUUAACUCCGGGUCUGCAUUCGAUACGGGCUGGCUAGAGUGUGGUAGGGGAGAUCGGAAUUCCUGGUGUAGCGGUGAAAUGCGUAGAGAUCGGGAGGAACAUCAGUGGCGAAGGCGGCCAUCUGGGACAACACUGACGCUGAAGCACGAAAGCGUGGGGAGCAAACAGG